UACGUAGGGGGCUAGCGUUGUCCGGAUUUAUUGGGCGUAAAGAGCGUGUAGGCGGCCAGGUAGGUCCGGUGUGAAAACUCGAGGCUUAACCUCCGAGAUGUCAUCGGAAACCAUCUGGCUAGAGUCCGGAAGAGGAAAGUGGAAUUCCUGGUGUAGCGGGUGGAAUGCGCAGAUAUCAAGGAAGAACACCAACGGCGAAGGC
rnacentral:rRNA from 1 species